AUCCUGGCUCAGGAUGAACGCUGGCGGUGUGUCUAAGGCAUGCAAGUCGUACGAUCCCUUCGGGGAGAGUGGCGAACGGGUGCGUAACACGUCGGAACCUACCCUAAACUUUGGCAUAACACGGAGAAAUCCGUGCUAAUUCCAAAUGUGCUCUUCAGAGUAAAGCUCAGGCGGUUUAGGAUGGUCCGGCGGCUGAUUAGCUUGUUGGUGAGGUAAAGGCUCACCAAGGCGAUGAUCAGUAGCGGGUGUGAGAGCACGACCCGCCUCACGGGGACUGAGACACUGCCCUGACUCCUACGGGAGGCUGCAGUCGAGAAUCUUCCGCAAUGGCCGCAAGGCUGACGGAGCGACACCGCGUGCAGGAUGACACCCUUCGGGGCGUAAACUGCUUUUAUGAGUGAAGAAGCUUCGGUUGACAUUAGCUCAUGAAUAAGGGUCCGCCAAACUCGUGCCAGCAGCGGCGGUAAUACGAGUGACCCGAGCGUUAUCCGGAAUCAUUGGGCGUAAAGGGUCCGCAGGUGGUCCUGCGCGUCCUUCGUUAAAGCCCACAGCUUAACUGUGGAACCGCGAAGGAUACGGCAGGACUAGAGGCCGGGAGAGGCUGACGGAAUGGUAGGUGUAGGGGUAAAAUCCGUUAAUAUCUACUAGAACACCAAAGGCGAAGGCAGUCAGCUGGAACGGUUCUGACACUCAGGGACGAAAGCGUGGGGAGCGAAGGGGAUUAGAUACCCCCGUAGUCCACGCCGUAAACGAUGGAUACUAAAGAUUGGUAGUCUCGACCCUAUCAGUCUUGUUAUACUCAAGCUAACGCCUUAAGUAUCCCGCCUGGGGAGUACGAUCGCAAGAUUAAAACUCAAAGGAAUAGACGGGGACUCGAACAAGCGGUGGAGCGUGUGGUUUAAUUCGACUCUAAGCGAGGAACCUUACCAGGGAUUGACAUCUAGCCUAUAUGAAACCUUAACCGGAUGAUUUUAGUGGCUAUGACAGGUGAUGCAUGGUUGUCGUCAGCAUGUGCUGUGAAGUGCACCGUUAACUCGGGUAACAUGCGCAACCCUCGUCCUGUGUUACUAUGUCACAGGAGACUGCCUCGGUUAACGAGGAGGAAGGCGGGGAUGACGCCAAAUCAGCAUGUCCCUUACACUCUGGGCUACACACGCGCUACAAUAGCCAGGACAACGGGAAGCCAAAUCGUAAGAUGGAGCUAAUCCUAAUAAACCUGGUCCCAGUUCGGAUAGAGGGCUGCAACUCGCCCUCUUGAAGCCGGAAUCGCUAGUAACCGCGGAUCAGCCUCGCCGCGGUGAAUACGUUCUCGAGUCUUGUACUCACUGCCCGUCACAUGAAGGAAGCCGGCAAUACCCUAAGCCCCACGUUCGUGGGUCCACGGUAGGGUCGGUGACAGGCAUGAAGUCGUAACAAGGCA
rnacentral:rRNA from 1 species